UACGUAGGGCGCAAGCGUUGUCCGGAAUUAUUGGGCGUAAAGAGCUCGUAGGCGGUCUGUCGCGUCGGUUGUGAAAACCCAAGGCUCAACCUUGGGCCUGCAAUCGAUACGGGCAGACUAGAGUACUGCAGGGGAGACUGGAAUUCCUGGUGUAGCGGUGAAAUGCGCAGAUAUCAGGAGGAACACCGGUGGCGAAGGCGGGUCUCUGGGCCGAUACUGACGCUGAGGAGCGAAAGCGUGGGGAGCGAACAGG
rnacentral:rRNA from 1 species